GGGGCAAAACUGCCACUGAGCGUGAUGAGACUGGAUCCAAGUCCCAAACAUGUGAUAAAGUCCUAAAGAAACAGCAAAUGAAAAGUGAAAGCUCGACUCAUGUGACCCUUCCAAGAAGGGUCCUCCAAGCAUUCAACCCAAAUGUUUAUAGAAAUAUUGAGUAUGAAGUUUGGCAGAAAAUCGAACAAGCACAGCAGAAGAAAGAUUAUUCUAUUGCUGCUGGAAUGCAGUAUGUGGUUGGGGACAAAUGUAAGGUAAGCAUUACUGCAUUUUUCUCAAUGUUUUAAUUUUUACUCAAGAAUUAUGGUGAAAUUGUUUAAGACUGUAUCUCUUGCCGUAUCACUGGAUUAGAAAGCCUGUGUGACUGGUGUUAUCAUUGCGUGCCUGGAAGUGGCACCCACUCCACCUGGGUUGUGUUGUGUUGCUGCUGAGAUCAUCAAUGUGUGCCCACUCUCCACUCCGUCAUUUUGCUUAUUACCGUCCCACCUGUUCCGUUA